AUGACCAGAGAUAAUCUGCUGAAAAGGAACUUACAUAAAUUCGUGGAUUGUGUGUUCUAUUCUAAGCUUGAAAGUAUCCAACAUCUUUUAUUUGAGUGUGUGGUUGCCCAACAUAUUUGGCAGGAGAUUAGCUCUUUCUUUAAUAUGCAGCUGGGAGAUUCUGUCACUAGUAUUUCCUCUCUUUGGGUGGUUGGAAAAAGAUUAGAUGCUUCAAAUACUGUCUUUGUUGUUGCUCUUUGGGCUUUACGGAAGCACAUAAACAGUUUGGUGUUUAAUGGUGUGCCUUGGCUGUCUCUUGAACAGAUUUGGUCGCUUCUUUCAAGAACAAUCAAGAAAUUGCGCGUGCUCUACAAGGAUCACAUGUUGAAGAUGAUAGACUCGUUCUGUCUCCACCUCCAAAAUCUGCUGUGA
rnacentral:rRNA from 1 species